CAUCCUGGGGCUGGAGCAGGUCCCAAGGGUUCGACUGUUCGUCGAUUAAAGUGGUACGCGAGCUGGGUUCAGACCGGCGUGAGCCAGGUCGGUCCCUAUCUGUCGUGGGCGUUCCAAGUUUGAGAGGAGUCAUCCUUAGUACGAGAGGAUUGGGAUGGACACACCCCUGGUGAUCCAGUUGGCCCGCUCGGGCCACCGCUGGGUAGCUACGUGUGGCAGGGAUAACCGCUGAAAGCAUCUAAGCGGGAAGCCCCCC
rnacentral:rRNA from 1 species